GAGAUGAAGGGGGCAAACCAGACAGCUGUGACGGAAUACGUCCUGAUGGGGCUACACGAGCACUGUAACCUGGAGGUGGUCCUGUUUGUGUUCUGCCUGGGCAUCUACUCCGUGAAUGUGUUGGGGAACGCCCUCCUCAUAGGGCUGAACGUGCUGCACCCUCGCCGGCACAACCCCAUGUACUUCUCAGCAACCUCUCCCUCAUGGACAUCUGCGGCACCUCCUCCUUUGUGCCUCUCAUGCUAGACAAUUUCCUGGAAGCCCAGAGGACCAUCUCCUUCCCUGGCUGUGCCCUGCAGAUGUACCUGACCCUGGCGCUGGGAUCAACGGAGUGCCUGCUGCUGGCUGUGAUGGCAUAUGACCGUUAUGUGGCUAUCUGCCAGCCGCUUAGGUACCCAGAGCUCAUGAGUGGGCAGACCUGCAUGCAGAUGGCAGCGCUGAGCUGGGGGACAGGCUUUGCCAACUCACUGCUACAGUCCAUCCUUGUCUGGCACCUCCCCUUCUGUGGCCACGUCAUCAACUACUUCUAUGAGAUCUUGGCAGUGCUAAAACUGGCCUGUGGGGACAUCUCCCUCAAUGUGCUGGCAUUAAUGGUGGCCACAGCCAUCCUGACACUGGCCCCCCUCUUGCUCAUCUGCCUGUCUUACCUUUUCAUCCUGUCUGCCAUCCUUAGGGUACCCUCUGCUGCAGGCCGGUGCAAAGCCUUCUCCACCUGCUCAGCCCACCUCACAGUGGUGGUGGUUUUUUAUGGGACAAUCUCCUUCAUGUACUUCAAACCCAAGGCCAAGGACCCCAACGUGGAUAAGACUGUCGCAUUGUUCUACGGGGUUGUGACGCCCUCACUGAACCCCAUCAUUUACAGCCUGAGGAAUGCAGAGGUGAAAGCUGCCGUCCUAACUCUGCUGAGAGGAGGUUUGCUCUC
rnacentral:sRNA from 1 species